rnacentral:rRNA from 1 species
UACGAAGGGGGCUAGCGUUGCUCGGAAUCACUGGGCGUAAAGCGCACGUAGGCGGAUUGUUAAGUCAGGGGUGAAAUCCUGGAGCUCAACUCCAGAACUGCCUUUGAUACUGGCGAUCUCGAGUCCGGGAGAGGUGAGUGGAACUGCGAGUGUAGAGGUGAAAAUUCGUAGAUAUUCGCAAGAACACCAGUGGCGAAGGCGGCUCACUGGCCCGGUACUGGACGCUGAGGUGCGAAAGCGUGGG